GCCUUUGGGCUGCCCUUUGCUGAUCUUGUCUGAACUUGACUGCUAAGGCAGGAUUGGAUCUGGUUAGUAUUGGGAUGGGAGACCACCAAGGAAUUCCAGAGCUGCAGGCU
rnacentral:rRNA from 1 species